rnacentral:rRNA from 1 species
AGCGAACGCUGGCGGCAUGCCUAACACAUGCAAGUCGAACGAGACCUUCGGGUCUAGUGGCGCACGGGUGCGUAACGCGUGGGAAUCUGCCCUUGGGUUCGGAAUAACAGUGAGAAAUUACUGCUAAUACCGGAUGAUGUCUUCGGACCAAAGAUUUAUCGCCCAGGGAUGAGCCCGCGUAGGAUUAGCUAGUUGGUGGGGUAAUGGCCUACCAAGGCGACGAUCCUUAGCUGGUCUGAGAGGAUGAUCAGCCACACUGGGACUGAGACACGGCCCAGACUCCUACGGGAGGCAGCAGUGGGGAAUAUUGGACAAUGGGCGCAAGCCUGAUCCAGCAAUGCCGCGUGAGUGAUGAAGGCCUUAGGGUUGUAAAGCUCUUUUACCCGGGAUGAUAAUGACAGUACCGGGAGAAUAAGCUCCGGCUAACUCCGUG